UUCAUAUUCCCUAAACAUGAACCGUCUGC
rnacentral:piRNA from 1 species